AUACGGAGGAUGCAAGCGUUAUCCGGAUUUAUUGGGUUUAAAGGGUGCGUAGGCGGUUUGCUAAGCGGGAGGUGAAAUGCCGGCGCUCAACGUCGGAAGUGCCUCCCGAACUGGUGGACUGGAAUGACUCUGCCGUGGGAGGAAUGUGUAGUGUAGCGGUGAAAUGCUUAGAGAUUACACAGAACACCGAUUGCGAAGGCAUCUCACGAAGGGUUGAUUGACGCUGAGGCACGAAAGCGUGGGGAUCAAACAGGAUUAGAUACCCUGGUAGUCCACGCAGUAAACGAUGAUGGCUAACCGCUGGUUUUUUCGGAUCAGUGGCCAAGCGAAAGCGAUAAGCCAUCCACCUGGGGAGUACGACCGCAAGGUUGAAACUCAAAUGAAUUGACGGG
rnacentral:rRNA from 1 species